UACACGGGCCCCAAGCGUUAAUCGGAAUCACUGGGCUUAAAGGGUGCUUAGGCGGUCCCGCAAGUGCUUUGCGAAAUCCCAUCGCUCAACGAUGGAAUGGCUCGGCAUACUGCGGGACUUGAGGUCGGUAGAGGUCGUCGGAACAGUAGGUGGAGCGGUGAAAUGCGUAGAUAUCUACUGGAACGCCAAAGGUGAAGAUAGGCGACUGGGCCGAUUCUGACGCUGAGGCACGAAAGCGUGGGGAGCGAACGGG
rnacentral:rRNA from 1 species